GGGGACUUAGCUCAGUGGUAGAGCACUUGCCUAGCAAGCGCAAGGCCCUGGGUUCGGUCCCCAGCUCCG
rfam:Rattus norvegicus chromosome 1, whole genome shotgun sequence.